AGGCUAUGUUGGUAGGGACAACUGACC
rnacentral:piRNA from 1 species